rnacentral:rRNA from 1 species
UACGUAGGGGCCUAGCGUUGUCCGGAUUUAUUGGGCGUAAAGAGCUCGUAGGCGGUUUGGUAAGUCGGGUGUGAAAUCUCCACGCUCAACGUGGAGGGGCCACCCGAUACUGCCAUGACUGGAGUCCGGUAGGGGAGUGUGGAAUUCCCCGGUGUAGCGGUGAAUGCGCAGAUAUCGGGAAGAACACCCGUGGCGAAGGCGGCACUCUGGGACGGUACUGACGCUGAGACGCGAAGCGUGGGAGCAAACAGG